UACGUAGGGUGCAGGCGUUAAUCGGAAUUACUGGGCGUAAAGCGUGCGCAGGCGGUUUGCUAAGACAGGUGUGAAAUCCCCGGGCUUAACCUGGGAACUGCGCUUGUAACUGGCAAGCUUGAGUGUGGCAGAGGGGGGUGGAAUUCCACGUGUAGCAGUGAAAUGCGUAGAGAUGUGGAGGAACACCGAUGGCGAAGGCGGCCCCCUGGGCUAACACUGACGCUCAUGCACGAAAGCGUGGGGAGCAAACAGG
rnacentral:rRNA from 1 species